rnacentral:rRNA from 1 species
UUGUUAGUCCUAGAAACACUAACGAAUAAGGGGUGGGCAAGUUCUGGUGUCAGCCGCCGCGGUAAAACCAGCACCUCAAGUGGUCAGGAUGAUCUAAAGCAUCCGUAGCCGGCUCUGUAAGUUUUCGGUUAAAUCUGUACGCUUAACGUACAGGCUGCCGGGAAUACUGCAGAGCUAGGGAGUGGGAGAGGUAGACGGUACUCGGUAGGAAGGGGUAAAAUCCUUUGAUCUAUUGAUGACCACCUGUGGCGAAGGCGGUCUACCAGAACACGUCCGACGGUGAGGGAUGAAAGCUGGGGGAGCAAACCGGAUUAGAUACCCGGGUAGUCCCAGCUGUAAACUAUGCAAACUCAGUGAUGCAUUGACUUGUGGUCAAUGCAGUGCUGCAGGGAAGCCGUAAGUUGCC